rnacentral:lncRNA from 1 species
GCUGAGUGCAUUCUGAAUUGCUUGAGUUCAGCAAGACUUGACCAUACUGACUUUCAUGACUUUUUCUUUGGAGUAAUGAAGGAUCUUAAUAACUUGGAUCAAAAAUUAUUCAAUCAAGAUCUGGAUGUGAUGCACCCUUCUGAUGCAAGUACAGGAUCAACAUCUGCUAUAUAACCUAGAAAACUGUGGAUAAACAGAACUUCUUUCCCCAGGGAUUCCUUUUACAAGGCAACUCCAGUGCUCCCUAUGUUAAAAAAAUAUCUUGGACAAUCUUGAGCAAGCUAUUCACAAGACUCCAAUAUGUCUUAUUUUUCUCACUGCAGUUUUUGGGAAGAGACUAGAUGGAGGCAGCAACACUGAGACAAGCUCUGCCAGAAGGAAAUGUUUGUCUUACCAGUUCUGUCAAAGUUUCCAGAAGUUCUAGCUGGCUGACUGCUGCACCUAUUGUGUUGGCUGUUAGUAUCAAGCCUGGUGUACCCAGGACAUGUAUCUUGAUGUCUAGAGAUAAGAGACUCAUUCCCACACCUUGUGCAGCAGAAGUGCCCAUAUUUCCCAGCUGAUAAA